rnacentral:rRNA from 1 species
AGGGAAUCUUCCGCAAUGGACGCAAGUCUGACGGAGCAACGCCGCGUGAGUGAAGAAGGCCUUCGGGUUGUAAAACUCUGUUGCCGGGGAAGAACAAGUGCCGUUCGAACAGGGCGGUACCUUGACGGUACCCGGCCAGAAAGCCACGGCUAACUACGUGCCAGCAGCCGCGGUAAUACGUAGGUGGCAAGCGUUGUCCGGAAUUAUUGGGCGUAAAGCGCGCGCAGGCGGCUUCUUAAGUCUGAUGUGAAAUCUUGCGGCUCAACCGCAAGCGGCCAUUGGAAACUGGGAGGCUUGAGUGCAGAAGAGGAGAGUGGAAUUCCACGUGUAGCGGUGAAAUGCGUAGAGAUGUGGAGGAACACCAGUGGCGAAGGCGGCUCUCUGGUCUGUAACUGACGCUGAGGCGCGAAAGCGUGGGGAGCAAAC